rnacentral:rRNA from 1 species
AACGAACGCUGGCGGCAUGCCUAACACAUGCAAGUCGAACGAGACCUUCGGGUCUAGUGGCGCACGGGUGCGUAACGCGUGGGAACCUGCCCUUAGGUUCGGAAUAACUCUCCGACAGGGGUGCUAAUACCGGAUAAUGUCUUCGGACCAAAGAUUUAUCGCCUUUGGAUGGGCCCGCGUUGGAUUAGCUUGUUGGUAGGGUAAAAGCCUACCAAGGCGACGAUCCAUAGCUGGUCUGAGAGGAUGAUCAGCCACACUGAGAAUGAGACACGGCCCGGACUCCGACGGGAGGCAGCAGAGGUGAAUAUAGGACAAGGGGCGAAAGCGUGAUCCAGCAAGGCCGCGUGAGUGAUGAAUGCCUGAGGGUUGUAAAGCUCUUUUAGCCGAGAUGAUAAUGACAGUACCGGGAGAAUAAGCUCCGGCUAACUCAGUG